GAUGAACGCUGGCGGCGUGCCUAAUACAUGCAAGUCGAGCGAACAGACGAGGAGCUUGCUCCUCUGACGUUAGCGGCGGACGGGUGAGUAACACGUGGAUAACCUACCUAUAAGACUGGGAUAACUUCGGGAAACCGGAGCUAAUACCGGAUAAUAUAUUGAACCGCAUGGUUCAAUAGUGAAAGACGGUUUUGCUGUCACUUAUAGAUGGAUCCGCGCCGCAUUAGCUAGUUGGUAAGGUAACGGCUUACCAAGGCAACGAUGCGUAGCCGACCUGAGAGGGUGAUCGGCCACACUGGAACUGAGACACGGUCCAGACUCCUACGGGAGGCAGCAGUAGGGAAUCUUCCGCAAUGGGCGAAAGCCUGACGGAGCAACGCCGCGUGAGUGAUGAAGGUCUUCGGACCGUAAAACUCUGUUAUUAGGGAAGAACAAAUGUGUAAGUAACUAUGCACGUCUUGACAGUACCUAAUCAGAAAGCCACGGCUAACUACGUG
rnacentral:rRNA from 1 species